rnacentral:rRNA from 1 species
UACGUAGGCAGCGAGCGUUGUUCGGAGUUACUGGGCGUAAAGGGUGCGUAGGCGGUUGUUUAAGUUUGGUGUGAAAUCUCCCGGCUCAACUGGGAGGGUGCGCCGAAUACUGAAUGACUAGAGUGCGGGAGAGGAUAGUGGAAUUCCUGGUGAUAGCGGUGAAAUGCGUAGAUAUCAGGAGGAACACCGGUGGUGUAGACGGCAUAUCUGGACCGUAACUGACGCUGAGGCACGAAAGCGUGGGUAGCAAACAGG